CCUGUAUCUAUAUUUGAUUCCUCUCUCUUGACUUAUCCAAGAAUGUCGCCUCCAGCUCUUUCAUCUGAAAGUCCUGUCUCCUUAUCAUCCAAAUUCCCUGAUUGGGUCCAGAAUCCUGAUGGUGCAAGCAACAAGCAUCCAAAUUCAGAUACAAAUAUAAAGAUUUCUGAUGACCAGCCUGAGCAGGCCGGUUCUCCACCGCCACACUCCUCACAGGAUUCUUCAGAACCAUCACAUGAUUAAUUUUGAACUGGUUGAGAUUACUUCUUUCUGUUUUGUUGAUACUUUUUUACAUUGGUACCCUAAAAGGAGAUUUUUGUGACACGUACCUCCUGGCCCCCCUUUUCACCUGUGGUUCUGCAGAGUGUGAUAGGUUGUUUUGAAAUCAAAUAUGAGAAGCAAAAUCUGGGGGCACUGGAAGGCAUUUUUUUGUUGUGAAUAAAAUGCAGGUGAA
rnacentral:misc_RNA from 1 species